AGUGAACGCUGGCGGUAGGCCUAACACAUGCAAGUCGAACGGCAGCACAGUAAGAGCUUGCUCUUACGGGUGGCGAGUGGCGGACGGGUGAGGAAUACAUCGGAAUCUACUUUUUCGUGGGGGCUAACGUAGGGAAACUUACGCUAAUACCGCAUACGACCUACGGGUGAAAGCAGGGGAUCUUCGGACCUUGCGCGAUUGAAUGAGCCGAUGUCGGAUUAGCUAGUUGGCGGGGUAAAGGCCCACCAAGGCGACGAUCCGUAGCUGGUCUGAGAGGAUGAUCAGCCACACUGGAACUGAGACACGGUCCAGACUCCUACGGGAGGCAGCAGUGGGGAAUAUUGGACAAUGGGCGCAAGCCUGAUCCAGCCAUACCGCGUGGGUGAAGAAGGCCUUCGGGUUUUAAAGCCCUUUUGUUGGGAAAGAAAAGCAGCAGGUUAAUACCCCGCUGUUCUGACGGUACCCAAAGAAUAAGCACCGGCUAACUUCGUG
rnacentral:rRNA from 1 species